GCCAUGUCCGGCGUCGACAGAGCGGCCAGGGCGAGCAGCGCGUCGGCCGCCAGCAGUUUCCACGUGAGCUUGGAGAAGGGGCCGUCGGUGAACUGCACAAGCGCGUCGCACUGCACAAGGCGAACCGAAACGGAGAGGCAGAGGUCAUCGGGCGGCUCGGUGCUGGGAACGCUGGCUGCGCACU
rnacentral:SRP_RNA from 13 species